GACGAACGCUGGCGGCGUGCUUAACACAUGCAAGUCGAACGGAAAGGCCCUGCUUUUGUGGGGUGCUCGAGUGGCGAACGGGUGAGUAACACGUGAGUAACCUGCCCUUGACUUUGGGAUAACUUCAGGAAACUGGGGCUAAUACCGGAUAGGAGCUCCCGCUGCAUGGUGGGGGUUGGAAAGUUUCGGCGGUUGGGGAUGGGCUCGCGGCUUAUCAGCUUGUUGGUGGGGUAGUGGCUUACCAAGGCUUUGACGGGUAGCCGGCCUGAGAGGGUGACCGGCCACAUGGGGACUGAGAUACGGCCCAGACUCCUACGGGAGGCAGCAGUGGGGAAUAUUGCACAAUGGGCGGAAGCCUGAUGCAGCAACGCCGCGUGCGGGAUGACGGCCUUCGGGUUGUAAACCGCUUUCGCCUGUGACGAAGCGUGAGUGACGGUAAUGGGUAAAGAAGCACCGGCUAACUACGUG
rnacentral:rRNA from 1 species